CCUUAUCUGGAUCGGGUUUCGCUGGCUAACGUGUUGUAAAAGCGACUCGCAAGUAAAUCUUCAAUUCGUUGUCGACGAAACCUGCACGGAAUAAGG
rfam:Anopheles stephensi strain SDA-500 unplaced genomic scaffold supercont1.307, whole genome shotgun sequence.